UAUAUAUAUAUAUAUAUGAUAGUGCAAGUAAUAUUAAAUGAGUGUAAUGAAAGAAUGAAAAAUUAAUAUUAUUGCUAAUACAUCUAAAAAUACAACCAUUCAUUAAAUAGAUCGUUUGAUUGUAAAGAAAUCAUUAAUUGCAUCAAGCAUGCUCUGUCAAAACAAAUACUGAAGUUCCCAGAAUACAAAUCAUAAGGUAAGUAGAUACAUAUUCAGAUAAAUAUCAUGCUCAUUUAAAGGAAACUCAUAGCGAAGAUGUCAAUUUCAAAGCUGUUACCAAAAAUGUCUCAUUAAACAGUUUUGGUCAAUAUUUUCGAUGUUUCCCUUAAAUACUAUGAUACUUACCUUGGUACUUAUUUAAUUCUGGGUACUUAACUGCUUGUUUGGUGCCCUCUUUGUGACUAAACAAUCAGUUUGAUUGAGAGAUGUAAUUUAAUUAUUAAAUGUAUUGGCAAUAGUAUUAUUUUUUGUUUUAUUUUA